rnacentral:rRNA from 1 species
CGGGGUGGAGUAACGCGUGGGUAACCUGCCUUAUACAGGGGAGUAACAGUUGGAAACGGCUGCUAAUACCGCAUAAGCGCACGGCAUCGCAUGAUGCAGUGUGAAAAACUCCGGUGGUAUAAGAUGGACCCGCGUUGGAUUAGCUAGUUGGUGAGGUAACGGCCCACCAAGGCGACGAUCCAUAGCCGACCUGAGAGGGUGACCGGCCACAUUGGGACUGAGACACGGCCCAA